GAUCUCCCCCGGCGCUUAGAACGGCGCUCCGCGCGCGUACGCUUAGAGCGGUGCUUGGCACGUGGGAAGCGCCAGAGAAGUCGCAUCACUAGCAUCGUCACCCCCCGAUUUGACCGUGAGCCCGUCAGUGCUUAGUACAGAGCUCCGCACAUAGUAAGCGCUCAAUAAAUACUAUUGAAUGAA